UUCUUAUCGAGAGCGGCGGAGGGAAAGGCCCGAUGAAGCCCGGCAACCGAUUAUCGGCAAGCGGUUCGCAUGCCGUUAAUGUCAUGGUGCUAAUUCCUUCGGAAUGGAUCAUUCCGGCAGAUGAGAG
rnacentral:ncRNA from 1 species